GAUGAACGCUGGCGGCGUGCCUAAUACAUGCAAGUCGAGCGAACGGACGAGAAGCUUGCUUCUCUGAUGUUAGCGGCGGACGGGUGAGUAACACGUGGAUAACCUACCUAUAAGACUGGGAUAACUUCGGGAAACCGGAGCUAAUACCGGAUGAUAUUUUGAACCGCAUUGUUCUAAAGUGUAUGACGGUCUUUCUGUCACUUAUUGAUGGUUCCGCUCUGCAUUAGCUAGUUGGUAAGGUAACGGCUUACCAAGGCAACGAUGCAUAGCCGACCUGAGAGGGAGAUCGGCCAAACUGGAACUGAGACACGGACAAGACUCCUACGGGAGGCAGCAGAAGGGAAUCUUACGCAAUGGGCGAAAGCAUGACGGAGCAACGCCGAGUGAGUGAUGAAGGUCUAAGGAUCGGAAAACUCUGUUAUUAGGGAAGAAAAUAUGUGUAAGUAACUGUGCACAUCGUGACGGUACCGAAUCAGAAAGCCACGGCUAACUACGUG
rnacentral:rRNA from 1 species